AGUGAACGCUGGCGGUAGGCCUAACACAUGCAAGUCGAACGGCAGCACAGAAAAAGCUUGUUCUUACGUGACGCGAGUCGCGGACGUGUGUAGUAUCCAUGGGAAUCCACUUUUUCGGGGGGGAAAACGUAGAGAAAGUAACUCUAAUCCCGUAUCCUACCUACAGGUGAAAGCAGGGGAUCUUCGGCCCUUGCGCGAUUGAAUGAGCCGAUGUCGGAUUAGCUAGUUGGCGGGGUAAGGGCACACCAAGGCGACGAUCCGUAGCUGGUCUGAGAGGAUGAUCAGCCACACUGGAACUGAGACACGGUCCAGACUCCUACGGGAGGCAGCAGUGGGGAAUAUUGGACAAUGGGCGCAAGCCUGAUCCAGCCAUACCGCGUGGAUGAAGAAGGCCUUCGGGUUGUAAAGCACUUUUGUUGGGGAAGAAGAGAAGAAAGUUAAUACCUCGGUGUAUUGACGUUACCCAAAGAAUAAGCACCGGCUAACUUCGUG
rnacentral:rRNA from 1 species